GGAUCUAAGCCCUCUCACCCCUUGCUGUCCUUAAAUUUAAUCACAAAAAGCCUCCAUACUUGAACCAUUAUAGUAUACUCUACACGUUUACAGUAACAAAGAGUAGCCCAUAGAGAGGCAUAUGCUCCCUACUUCUUGCCUUAGACAUUUGAGCGAAAAGAUAGUAAAAGAGAGAGAUAGUGAGACUAAGAGAGAGACAUACCCCAUCACUAUUGGAGCUAGCUUGGAGAACACUUAAAGGGCUUUCUAUCACCUUCACUUGCCAAUCCUUUCUUGUUGUAAAUCCAUCCAUAACAUUAAAGUGCUUUCCUCUAAGUGCUUCUUCGAGUUAGUUUAAGUCAUUCCAUGCUUGAUCCACAUGCCUAGUUCAUCAUGGCUUCAUUUGGUAUAGUUUUCACUAAGUUUUACUUAGUUUUUCAUGGCUGAGAUUUUAUGAGAUUUUGGAUUAUAUAUCAGUGAGCUCAAGUGCCUUUAGCAUGCUUCAAAAGCUAUUUUCACUAGCUUUACUAUGCCAAAAAUAUUCCAAGCUAGCUUGAUCAUUCCAAUAGAGAGCUCUCUCUCUGUCUCUCAUUGCAAUUUUUCACGAG
rnacentral:lncRNA from 1 species